rnacentral:lncRNA from 1 species
UGGAACUACUGUCUGAUAUAAGAAAGAAAAAAUACUUUGAUUGUACUAUCGCAAGUAAGUUCCUUUCAUAUCUGAUAAAAAUUUUUUUAUUUCCUAUAGCAUAUAUAUUAUUGUCACAACAUUGACUGUUUGUCGUUACAAACAUACAGUUAUCUACACGAUCAAGUUUCAAAAAUGUGGUCUCCCUCAUGCACAUAUAUUGGUUUUCCUGCAUCCUAAUGACAAGUCCACAG